UACAGAGGUCCCAAGCGUUGUUCGGAUUCAUUGGGCGUAAAGGGUGCGUAGGCGGCGCGGUAAGUCGGGUGUGAAAUCUCGGGGCUUAACUCCGAAACUGCAUUCGAUACUGCCGUGCUUGAGGACUGGAGAGGAGACUGGAAUUUACGGUGUAGCGGUGAAAUGCGUAGAUAUCGGGAAGAACACCCGUGGCGAAGGCGAGUCCCUGGACAACUCCUGACACUGAGGCACGAAAGCUAGGGGAGCAAACAGG
rnacentral:rRNA from 1 species